UAAAGGGGAAGAACACAAAGUAAACCCAGCGAGCGGAAUUGUUGGGAUCUUUUUGGUUCGACAAUUACAACACAAAUUACUAUGAUUCUUUCUUCCAUUAUCAUUCAUUCAUCCGACAAUUACUUUUCCCGAUUUGUCUUCUUCCACUUCCUUCAAUCCCCUAAACCCUAAAAAUCCACCUCUCAAAUCCCAUCGUGUGGCUGCAAAUCCGCGCCUGUUUUUGUCCUUCUUUUCUUCCGUGCAUUUCCGGAUUCAAAUCAUGUGCAUCUUCUUGAUCUCUCUCUUUAAUGGGUCCCCUGUUCGAUUCUGUAAUGCAAUCAUGGAAUUUCUUGAAGAUUAGUGUUCUUCGCUUUGAUCCUUCCAGUUCUCCCCGAAGUGAUCGUUCAUGCAGCGGAUUGAUGUCGUGUAAGCUUUCUGAUGCUUUGUGCUAAUAGCUACUGUUUGUUGUUUGUAAUCGGACUUGGCCUUAUUAUUGUGAUGUGUCGUUGUCAACUAGUGGGGGUUGCGGGGAAAUGGUGGCUUGUUCAUGGCGAGUGGUAAGGAUUUAGGCAUGUGGAAGGCAGAGAGUGACUGUUCAGUUUCUUGACUCUUAAUUUGUUCUGCUCUGAAUAAAGGAUGAAAGACAAUUUUCUGGUCUAAAUUGUUGCUGUGCUUAUCAUGGAGUAAACUCUUCUCUUACCUGAGUGAUUCAACAGGUUAAACAAUUAUGUUUAUCAUGAUUUUGCAAGAACUUUUGCUAAUUUUCAGGGGAAAAUCAUUAAGUUAACUGGGAAUUCCAUGUUACUGUGUAUACAAAUUCAUCAGCCUUCUCAAUCAUUAUCUUGUUGUUGUUGGAACUCUUAUCUUGACCGUGGUUGAGAUGUGUCACGGUCAUGCUUGUUCAAGGUUGUUGCCCAUGGUCGCAUCCUUGUUACGUGCCACAACCCUUACCUUGUAUCACUUUAUUGCUUUCCUUUACUGCUUUCUUGAUGUAUAAUUUCCUUCUUGUCUUUUCUAAGUGUAUGACGUUUCAGCAGAAUCAUGUCUACGUCGGGUAGACAUGAAAUUGCUACAGGGAGAUACGACCGGUCGUCAACUCCUCCCACCUAAUUGAAAUCACUUACCUCACAUACUCACAUCUUGAAGUAGCAGAGCUUGAUAAUGAAUAAGUGAGUAGUAAGGUCGUCCUGCAACAUAAUCUAGGAUCCCUUCACCUGCUGCUCUUACACCAUGAAUUUCGUUCCAACUUGGAAACCACCUCGAAAGGCGGCGAUCAUUCCGACCAAGAGUGCAGCUGUGGAGGCAAAGAGAGGCCAAAAGAAUGCUAGAAACAAUGACAGAACCACUGAAACUGCUGGUACAACAGUUAUUUGGUCUUUGUUUUGGAGAACCUUUGUUUGAACGUCCAUGGAGAUUGAGAAACAGAAACAGAGAGGAAUGGCUAUGAGUGAUGAUGAUGCUUUACUGCAAAACAUUGUAUUGCUCAUGAGUUUCAAGACUUGGCUCAUCAGCUUCUUAUUUUGAAUAUAAUCCGUUAUUGUGAAAAUACUGAAAUACCCUUGUACAGUCAGUAGAUAUUUUUGUUGGGGAGUUGAAGGAGAGGGGGAGACAGGGGUUAAUGAGUCAAUAAGACAGGGAACAACUGGAAACGUGGGGACAAGGAUGCUUGAUCAUAUUGUUGUCUGUUUGCUUGAUUGGUCGGUUGCCUUGUCCCUUCAGAGAAGUAAUCACUUUAUUUCCAUAUGGAUUGCUGGGUACUAUUGAGGAAAAGAAUGACAUCUUUUCUCUUCUUGUGUA